rnacentral:rRNA from 1 species
UAGCNNGAUCAGCUAGCAUNGACGCNNNNCGACUAGCAUAGCUAGCAUCGACUACAUCGCAUAUGACUAGCAUCCCGCAUCGACCCCUAGCUAGCAUCGAUCUAAUCUUCCGCAAUUCCUCUAGCGACACAGCUAGCUACGCGCGUGAGCUAGCACGACCCUCGAUCAGCUAAACUGCUAGCAGCAGCAUCUAUCAAAUGGACACGACGAUCUACACACUCUGNNGCCGGGCAGCCGCGGUAAUACAGAGNGCCGGCAGCGUUAAUGGAAUCACUGGGCUUAAAGCGUGCGUAGGCGGGCGUGCAAGCUUUCUUGUGAAAGCCCGGGGCUCAACCGGGAAUUGCUUGGUGAACUCCAAUGUCUUGAGGCAGGAAGAGGUGGUCGGAACCGAUAGGUGGAGCGGUGAAUUAUGCUUAGAUACUACCGGAACGCCAAAAGGAAGUCAGGCCACUGGGCCUGUUCUGACCCCUGAGGCACGAAAGCGGGGGUAGCGAACGGGAUUAGAAACCCCGGUAGUCCCCGCCGUAAACGAUGCGCACUAGGCCGGGAGGUUUGACGCCUCCCGGCCGGAAGCAAAAGUGAUAAGUGCGCCGCCUGGAAGUACGGUUCGCAAGGCUAAAACUCAAAGGGAAUUGACGGGGCCUCACACAAGCGGUGGAGGCAUGUGGCUAAAAUUCGAAGCAAAACGAAGAACCUUACCCAGGUUUGACAUGCCCGAUCACGGGAUGAAGUGGGCCACACCCGCAGGCGGACGUAGGUGCCGCAUGGCGGUCGUCAGCUCGUGCGUGAGUGUCGGUAAGUCCUCAACGCGACUAGCGAUCGAUCCCGAAGAAGCAUCGACGAUC